UGCCAUUUCAAUAUUUUGAAACUGAUCUCUCGAAAGGCAUCUCUCCUCUUCCAUUUCUCCAUUUUCUGAAACACAUGGUUGCUGUACAGAAAUUUAUGGAAGCAGAGAUCACGGAGCAGGACUCUCUUCUCCUGCCCUCCACUCUUCAGGAGUUGCACAGGAACGGCACACCAUCCCUGGACUAAAAUCCAUCAAGGAUGGAGGUUGGAAACGUCAACAGCAAGCCUUUUUUAUUAGCUCUUGAGAGUAAGGGAUU